AGGAGUGCAGCUUGCCAAAGCCUAAUAGCAUUAUAUAUAGGCUACCCUACAGGACGGUACCUGUCUCCUCCAAGCACCGCAUAGUAUGGUGAAAAAAAGACUACUUUGAUACAUGAUGAUGGAUGCAUAUAGUAUACCUUCCUGCCAGGAAUGAUAUCAGAGCAAGAGGGUAAGAGCCGCAACUGCAAUACAAAGGAGCAACAAAAGACAUGAAGACUUGAGGAGCAGCUGAUAACCAGGAGUUCUAUAAAAAGAUGAUCAGAUGGAUGAUACUAGGAGAAUGACGGGGAACCAGGAACAAUGAGAGCCUGACACUGAGACCAGAUGGGGAACCAGGACAGACCAACACUUGGAGAAAGACGUAAACACUGGAGAUAAC
rnacentral:lncRNA from 1 species